AACCAUGGGACUUUGGAGGCUAGAAGAGUGUGGGAGCAACCUGCCCGCAGGUUAGGGUAGGGGCUCACAUCUCUGCCGUUGUUACCUCGUCUGGAGCUACUUGGAUCAAAGCAGAAUCUUCUCUACUUCGCUUGAUACCUGAGCAGACGGUGGGCAGCUCCCGGGCGGGAGAGUAUCUCCACCUCUGGGGUCUAGCACAGACCAGGGGCAGGUCGGUCUUCAGGGAGAGCAUCAGUAAGCAAACAAGGACACCUCCCGUCGUACUAAUGCCAAUAAUGUUGACAACUAGCCUCAUCGCAUAAUUGCCGAACGCCAGCUCUGAGAGCUUCCUGGAUUGCUUUCGUCUAAUUUUCACGUUAACGUGAUGAUGCAGGUCUUAUUUUGAUCUCCGUUACCAAGUUUUUUUUUUUUUUUAUGUGUUUUAUUUUUUAUCUUUGAGAGAGAGAGACAGACAGACUGUGAGCAGGUGAGGGGCAGAGAGAGAGAGGGAGACGCAGAAUCCGAAGCAGGCUCCAGGCUCUGAGCUGUCAGCCCAGAGCCCGACUCAGGGCUUGAACACACGGACUGUGAGAUCAUAACCUGAGCCGAAGCCGGCCGCCCAACCGACUGAGCCACCCAGGCGCCCCUUGAUCUCCAUUUUAGACACGGGAGUACUCGGUCACAGACGGGUUACAUAACCCACAUGCUCCCUUCCACACGGCUAACGAGCGGCACCCAGAAGGUCAUGAGGCAAGAAGGAAACCGUCUCGAACUCCCGCCAAGCCGUUCUGCCCAGCGAGCCUCUUCCCACAAGCGUGGGGCUCCAGGCGUGCCCGAGGCCCCCGCCAGCCGAGGCGCUUUCCUGCCUUCAAAGGCCCACCUUGAGUGCAUGCCAGAAUCCGGCAACAGAUUCUGGUCCAACUCAUGCAAACCGCAGAACUCCAGGGCGGUUGAGGCCACGGAACACCGAGUUGAGAUCAAGUGGCUUAAUACCAAAAGAAAACAUCUUCAAAGUUUUGUUGGAGGGAAAGCCAAACAGAGAUAAUGUUGAAGUCUCCAGCUUGCUAGUUCCUUUCUAUUUGGUCAGUGCUUGAUAGGAUAUGACGUCUGAGUGCCCCUGCCCACAGCUUUAUCGUCGAAGAGCCUCUGCUUUGCUGGGUCCAGGACGAGGGUCAUUCCAGCUCAGCAGUGAGUGAAUACUCUUGACCAUAAAACUCUCUGCCAACGAAAGACAUUGUAAAUAUAGAGCAAUGCAGUCUGGUGGUCAUGGCUAAGGGACUUCCAGGUCAUGGUGGUGGAUGGAGUGCAGGAUUUCUGUCUCUCAAGGACCAACCCGAAGAACAAAAUUGCAAAAGCUGACAAAGAGUCCCAGUGGCAAAGUAAUCAAGCAUGAGAAGUUGCAAAAUGUGAUGUUGUAUCCCGUCAGAGGCAGGGGCUGCCAUUGAGGUUGACCGUCUCCCCAAGGGUUCACUGGAUGGUCCAUGACGACGAUGGUCACAGGGUAGAAAGGAUGGGACUCUAUGAAUUUCUUGGUGCUCAGUUUCAACUCAGCAGGCAAGUCAUCUUCUCUCAGAUGCUCCCAUCCCUCUGCUCCGCGGCAUUGCCAUAUUCUCGAGAGCGCUCGUGGCUCAUUCGGCACCUUCAAGGGCUGAUAAGCAACCUGCCGGACCUCUCUGCUCCCAGAGUCAAAUAGGCCACUCACACAUCUUUGCAUUUUGACUCAGUGGUCUCUUGGCUGUGUCCCCAGCGUGCUCUCUUGCAAAUGUGUGCACGUGCCUCAUUCUAGAAGAUAUGAUUACGAUGUGGGACCCUGUGUCUCUGUACAGCUCGAUGCAUCUCUCAGCCAAGAAUGGGCAUGAGAAGCCAGGAAGACCCGAGUUUGAAUCCCGACUAUAUUAAUUUCUAGCUGCGUGAUCUGGAUGGAGCUACUUAAUUUCUCCGAACAGCAGAUUCCUUUAUCUGGACAGCGGUGCUAAAAACCUUUCUUCCAGCGCGGGGGACUGUUAAAGAAAAUGCCCAAACGGUGUCUGGGUCCUAGUACACGUCAAAAACUUUUGUCUGAUCCAAGAAGUGGACUUAUAACCUUUCUCUCCUAACAUUUCAUGAAGUCAUCACAUGCUGGACGCGCAGUCCUCAGGUAUGAUUUUCUCCCCAUUUUAGCGGGGCUUUCCCCCAACGCACUCUAUUGUCUACAUAAUUUUUGGAAGCAUUCGAAUAUAUGUUCAGUGUUAGUAAUCUCUUUCUCUCUCCCCUUUCUCUUAUGGCUGAUGACCUGGCCCGAAUCUUCACUUGGGAGUAAGGACCAGUGCUAAAGUUCUAAGCUACAGAAGUCUGCAAUCUGCAGUCGCCAGGCACGACCUAGCGCCGUUCUACCGUUGGCGUGACCCCCGUAAGACCAGAGGAUGCUGCGCUCUGGGCCUCGAAGGCACCAACGUGAAUCCCCACCCUGAUUCUUCCCAGGAGAAGCGAAGCGUUGAAAAUUAUAUUCAGCUGCAGGAGUUUUCAGCCCCACGUUCGGAAAGAGCAGAAGUUGCUAGAGGCUAUUUUCAGAGAACUCCUAAUAAGUACAGAACCCAAAUACAGACAUGGUUGUUAACACCCUGGGAAAUGCCAAAUCCAAGCUGGAUCGCAGCCAGCAGAGACAUGGAAAGUCCUAGAUAGCUUAUCUCAGAGCCAAUCUGUAUUACGCGGGAGGCACAAGAGGCAAUUGCAAGGGAGGACACGAGCUCUCCUUCUAGGCUCUACAUCAGCGCCUUGGACCGACAACAUCAAGGUGCAUCGGGCAUUUUCUGAAUCUGCGAGUAGGUCGCUUGUCCUGCCCUGUGUUCUAUCCUGUGCUUUCAGCCUGCUUCUCCUUCAACCCACCCAUUCUUCCUGACCCGUUUCAUUCAUUCCUGGGGCUUCAGGAACCUUCUCUCCCUCAACAAAUGACUCCUUGUGAUAGAUCUCCAGGCUUGAGUUUUUAAACAAGUUUAUUCUAUUUAUUUGUUUGUUUGUUUAUUUAUUUAUUUAGAGAGAGAGAGAGAGGAGAGAGAGAGAGAGAGAGCACAUGGGGGAGAGGCAGAGAGAGGCAGAGAGAGAAUCCCAAGCAGGCUCCACGCUGUCUGCAUAGCCUGACGCGGGGCUCGAUCCCACGAACCGGGAGAUCACGACGUGAGCUGAAAUCAAGAGUUGGAUGCUCAACCACCCGAGCCACCCAGGCCCCCCAGCCUUGACUUUUUGUCUGCAUGUCAGGCACCUGUUUAAGCCCGCGACAGACACCUAAACUCAGCAUGCUUUUCUCCAGCUCUGUUACUCAGCACUGGGACACAGGUGCUUUGACUACAAGCCAAGAGCUUUCUGCUCUCCACAACGACGCCUUGGGUGGUUGACGUGGUGGCUAAUUGAAGUUAAAGCACCCAUUUAGAAUGGUUUUGGGGGAAGGUGACAGAAAGUCUGACUGUGGCAAUGAUUAGAAUUCGGAUUCUGAAGAUUUGGGUUCAAACCUCAAGAUGCAACCUUCAUACCUUUCAGGCAGCAUGGCUUCGAUAAAUCAUUUCCAUUUGCAAACAGUAGAGCAAGAGAAGACACAAUUAGUAUAAUUAGGUUAAUAGCCUAUAUACGUAUUAUCUAUAUACAGGUUAAUUAUAUGUAUAUAUUGUAAUUAUGAUUAUAUAUGACGUAUAACAUGUAUCUUAUGUAUGGAUGUUGUAUAUUUAUACAUGUUACACGCAAACAUGUAUUAUAUGUAUGUAUAUUAUCUGUACAUACAACCUAAUAAUAUAUAAUUAGUGUAAGUAGGAUAAUAAAAGUUAGUUGUGAUGUUG